rnacentral:rRNA from 1 species
UACGGAGGGUGCAAGCGUUAUCCGGAUUCACUGGGUUUAAAGGGUGCGUAGGCGGGUAGAUAAGUCAGUGGUGAAAUCUCCGAGCUUAACUCGGAAACUGCCAUUGAUACUAUUUAUCUUGAAUAUUGUGGAGGUAAGCGGAAUAUGUCAUGUAGCGGUGAAAUGCUUAGAUAUGACAUAGAACGCCAAUUGCGAAGGCAGCUUACUACACAAUGAUUGACGCUGAGGCACGAAAGCGUGGGGAUCAAACAGG